rnacentral:rRNA from 1 species
AUUGAACGCUGGCGGCAGGCCUAACACAUGCAAGUCGAACGAGGGGCCGACGGGUGAGUAAUGUCUGGGGAACUGACUGAUGGAGGGGGAUAAAUAAUGGAAACGGUAGCUAAUACCGCAUACCAUCAGAAGAACCCAUAUGGGAUUAGCUUGUUGGUGGGGUAACGGCGCACCAAGGCGACGAUCCUUAGCUGGUCUGAGAGGAUGACCAGCCACACUGGGACUGAGACACGGCCCAGACUCCGACGGGAGGCAGCAGUGGGGAAUAUUGCACAAUGGGCGCAAGCCUGAUGCAGCCAUGCCGCGUGUAUGAAGAAGGCCUUCGGGUUGUAAAGUACUUUCAGUCGGGAGGCGUUACCGACAGAAGAAGCACCGGCUAACUCCGUGCCAGCAGCCGCGGUAAUAC